UAAUUAUUCUAUUAGUCAUGUAAGAUAAAUGCAUGCCGAUCCAAACAAAUCCAUUUAAGAAUUAUGCAUUAACUGCGCAAAAUAAUGUAAAAUAAGACAUUUAUUUAGUCUUAUGUCUGUUUAAUUGUUCAUAUGAUCCCGAUGCGAGUUACUAGCUGAGAAUGAUUAGCCUGCCUUAAUAUUAUCUAAUUAAUAUAAAUAAUUGAUGUGCAAUUAAUGUUUGUCUACUGUUUUUAAUGCCACUCAGCGUGAUGUAGGCUAAUAUAACAUACAAGUAGAACGUUUCAUGUCUGUGCUUUCUAUUUGAUUGGUCACUGUUCAUUUCCAGUGGUGCUGAAAUUCUGCUUCAGUCAUAAAAACUUUAAACUGGUACCGGUUUCAGGUUCUUUUAGAGUGACUCCCAGAUUAGUGGAGACACAGCCUGAGUUGAAUAUUAAUAAUUUUAUAUCAAGUCUACUUCGAAAACUGGGCUGGUCAGAUUCAAGGAAUCGACUCUUUUGGAGUCGACUCCUCAUCAGUACUGCGCAUGUGCUUACAAAUCAUCACAUCGACGCGCACGUGGAAGUGAUCGCCGCGGGAAAACUGAGUUUGUCUAGUUCCUCCAUGGUUGUGAGAGGAAAGACCUCAUCCUCGCUGUCCACCACUGGAGCACUGGAACGGUUGUUUGCUGCAAGGGACUGGACCACUGAAGUCAGAUGAUUGAUCUUCAUGUCCAGUUCAUUAAGUGCCUCCAGAAUUGUCCUCUCAACAGCUGCAACACAUUAGAUGGGUGUUCAUCCAAAGCAUCUUCUUGCUCAUUUUCAUUGGACAAGCUCACUGGAACAGCUGGAGUUAAGAAAGGUGAAGUUGUGAUAGAUGGGUGUUCUUCCCAAGUUUCCAGCUGGCGGUCUGAAUGAGAGAAGCUCAUUAACAUUACACAAGGUGAGUGUCCACCCCAAUGAUCUUGUGGCUCAUCUGCCUGGGAGAAGCUCACGGGAACAUCUGGAGCUGACAAUGAUGGAACUGUACUCAUGUAGAGCCUGUUACCUUGACAGCUGGGGAAAGUCUCAAAACGGGCCUGCUCUGGCUUCUCCAUGGCCCUUUGGUGGUGAUUAACAAGUGCUGUUGAAAGAAUUGAGGUGCUGGAGGUUUUGGUGCAGGCGGGACUUUUGGUGCGGGCUGGAUUUUUGGUAAUUUUCAGAUUCUGAGAUGUCAGAAGUGUAGCAUGCCCUUUUCCAUUUUUUGGAAAUGUUGUCAAAUGAUGCUGAAAUGAUCAAAAAUUCUGGCCUGAUGCUUGGUCCAACCCUUAUCUGGCUGUGGUGCCUCCAUCAACCUGACACUCUUUAGUAACCGGUCCAAGUCUUUGUAUGGAGGCCACCAUGAGUGGCCAUCUGAGUACCAGGACUUUGCUACAGGACCGGUACUCCCUUCUCCGGCAAACUCCACUAUCAGGUGGCGAUGUACGCGCGCGAGUCGCCAAUGAGCCAAGGGAUGAAGAAGUCCUCAGGGCAAGAUGUGGUGGAGUGAUGGUUGAGAGUGCAAUCUAUUCUGCUUACCCGACUCAUGCAGACUUCUGUCCUGAUGUUUGGCUGUAGUCCUUCCAUCAUCCAGUCUUUUGCAACCGGUCUAUUUAUGGAGACCACCAUGAUCUAAUCUAUACAGAUCUAGUUGUCUCUUCUCCCACAAACUCCUCUUUCAGAUUUUGAGCGGAUCUCCUUCAUUCUGCAGCCAGCUCACCAGAACCUCUGGGUGCACCAGCUGUGGAUAUUACAGGCCAAACUUUGGACACCCUAGGACAACAUCCUUAGCACAGAUCUACCUAUAGCCCUCCAUCAUUCCCACAUCCAUCUUGCAACAGUUUCAUUAACUGCAGUCCAUAACCAGUUCACAGUCUACACCUUGUCCAUUGCAAAUGUUAUGGAUUAUUCUAAUAAAGAUCUUUCUAUUAUUUUUUUUGAGACCGUUAUUAUGUACUCUGUUAUGUUGUGAAUAAAGUCAGCCCCCCCCCCCCACCUCGAUGCUUUCAGCAGUUAAUAGAUUAAAGUGUGUCCUUAAUGUUUUAUUAUUUAAAGAUUGUUUUAAAGUUUAUUACAGGCUCAGUUUAUUUUUUUUCACUAGAAAAUAAAGUGGAGUAUUAACUGUCAUAAUCAAGUAUGAGACUUUUGUCAGUAUCAUUAAUUCUAUGAGGCAAUAUGAAUCAAAUUAACAUUUGUAUAGGGUUUUCAUCCGAAGGCUUCUUCCUUAUUUAGUUAAACAUCAAGGGUUUUCUAUGCCUUUGUCACCUUUUACUUUCUCAUUGGAAAUUAUGAGCAUCAUUAUUUGGAAGAAAAUAAGAAUAUGAAAAUGGCUUUGAUUUCAAUGUAUUGAAUGGAAUCAAAGAACCACACAAACCUUUGACCUUCACAAAGACAUUGUAUAAAUUAAAGUGUUACUCAAAUUA